UGGCGUCACCUAGAGAUGGAUCCGCGGUGCAUUAGUUAGUUGGUGGGGUAAAGGCCUACCAAGACAAUGAUGCAUAGCCGAGUUGAGAGACUGAUCGGCCACAUUGGGACUGAGACACGGCCCAAACUCCUACGGGAGGCUGCAGUAGGGAAUCUUCCACAAUGGGCGAAAGCCUGAUGGAGCAACGCCGCGUGUGUGAUGAAGGCUUUCGGGUCGUAAAGCACUGUUGUAUGGGAAGAACAGCUAGAAUAGGGAAUGAUUUUAGUUUGACGGUACCAUACCAGAAAGGGACGGCUAAAUACGUGCCAGCAGCCGCGGUAAUACGUAUGUCCCGAGCGUUAUCCGGAUUUAUUGGGCGUAAAGCGAGCGCAGACGGUUGAUUAAGUCUGAUGUGAAAGCCCGGAGCUCAACUCCGGAAUGGCAUUGGAAACUGGUUAACUUGAGUGCAGUAGAGGUAAGUGGAACUCCAUGUGUAGCGGUGGAAUGCGUAGAUAUAUGGAAGAACACCAGUGGCGAAGCGGCUUACUGGACUGUAACUGACGUUGAGGCUCGAAAGUGUGGGUAGCAACAGGAUUAGAUACCCUGGUAGUCCACACCGU
rnacentral:rRNA from 1 species